rnacentral:rRNA from 1 species
UUUUGGACAAUGGGCGAAAGCCUGAUCCAGCCAUGCCGCGUGAGUGAAGAAGGCCUUCGGGUUGUAAAGCUCUUUUAGUCGGAAAGAAAGAGUUGCAAUGAAUAAUUGUGAUUUAUGACGGUACCGACAGAAAAAGCACCGGCUAACUACGUGCCAGCAGCCGCGGUAAUACGUAGGGUGCGAGCGUUAAUCGGAAUUACUGGGCGUAAAGGGUGCGCAGGCGGUCUUGCAAGUCAGAUGUGAAAGCCCCGGGCUUAACCUGGGAAUUGCGUUUGAAACUACGAGACUAGAGUGCAGCAGAGGGCAGUGGAAUUCCAUGUGUAGCAGUGAAAUGCGUAGAGAUGUGGAAGAACACCGAUGGCGAAGGCAGCUCCCUGGGUUGACACUGACGCUCAUGCACGAAAGCGUGGGGAGCAAA